UACUGAAAGGAAACUUCGAAACUACUACUGUUUCUUCACGGGCAAGACAAUUGCCAGCACAAGGCAAUUGUUUCUCCACUAAGAAUCGAAAACGCCAGCAAAGUAAUUUCGAAUCCCCACUAGCAAAGGAAAUUCAAAUCCAUAAACUUUGAGCAAUGAAGAUUGUUAUUUUGGCAUUGAAUUUGGACAUAGUUUGAAGCUUCGUGUCGUUGGCGCCGUUACCUGUCACGCAUAUUUGAACUUCGAGUCGCGAGUAUAUUUAUCUAUCGUGACGAGUUGAAGCCUCAUGUCAUUGACACCGGUACCUACUGCUGAAUCAAAGCUUCAUGUUAUUGGCAACAAAUAAUUAGAGAGAACCAAAAGCUUCGUUCCAUUGGCACCGAGGCCUCCAAAAUCUUUUCCCUUUCGCUGCAGAAUCUAUUUGAGAUAGUCAUCUUUAGGCAUAUGUGGAGAAAACCAUCAUAUUUUAUCGUAGGAACAUCGGGAACACAAGACACAUGAUCCUCUUGACACUACACUUCAAAUACUUCAACAUAUCAAAAAUAUGGGGCAAAAUUCCUUCUGUAGCUUCUCAGGCGAAGAGAUGUGUGAAGACUUCGCAUCCAUUGAGCCUUGGCGUAGACUACUUCUUGCAACCUAGCAAAUAAUUCAUGGAGCAUCCUCUUCUUAUAGUUGGCCAAAGAUGUACAUGGCAUACCAAGUCCCAGUUUUCGUGAAGAAAUAGACGAAGCACUUUCUUCUUGCAAUUUUUCAUAGACGGCUAGAUGAAGAAUUCCCUCCUUGAAGAUUGUGAGAAAGAGGCUUGCGGUGACUGUAUUCCAUCAUUGACGAGCGAGCAUGUGGCACAUAUCAUCCUUGCGGAUUGGCUCGAACAAGCUUGGAGUUGGAGCGACCAUAUUCUUCUUUGCAAGCGAGAAUAUGGCGCGACUCAUUCUUGUGGCUUGGCGAAAUUGACACUACUUGGAGCAGUCCUUUCCAACCUUGACGAGCAAGCACUUGGCACAUCUCCGCAAAUAUAUCCAUUCUUUGGCGUAGGAACGAUGAAAUCACAAGUCGCUUCAUUCUAAAGAAUCAGAACUCAAAUACAUGCCGCUGCGACUUCAUAGCACUCCAUGCUCUCAUUGAAAAAAGUCGUAUCUCAACCUAGAAGUGUCCAAACUGCAAUCCGCUUAAUUCUACAUAAUUAGAACUUGCACCACAAUGGCAUAUCCAAAAUUUAGGAGCAAAUUCCAUCAGGAUAAGUUAGAAUAAACUCUUGAAGUUGUGCACAUGUCUGUCAUUUCGACUUCACAGCACUGCAUGUUGUCAUUAAAAAGUACAUAUUUUAAGCUAGGAAUGUCCAAAUAGCGAGACGCAUAUGCCAUCAGAAAGACAAGUUCGAGAUCUGCAGCACCUGAAAAUAUCGUGGCAGAACUCCUUUUAGUUGGCCGCAAUAUUAUUUUGAAGUCGCUCCUAAUAUUUGCCUUGCUGCUUUUCAGCUUUGUGAACUCUCAUCGAGAAAUACAUAUCUCGAGCUACAGGUGUAGAAAUCGCAAUCCCUUUAUGCUGUUAGAAAGUAAACUCAUAGAGCUGUAACAUAUAUGAAUUUCACGGCAGACCUCCUUUCGAGCUGGAAACAGAAAAUUCUUAAAAUCGACCUAGCUGCAGUAAACUUUCAGAUUUGUGUAGUUCCGGCGAAAAAAAUCGUAUCUUGAGCUAGGAGCCUCAAAAUUGCAAACGGUUUGUGUUUUUGGAAACUAGAUGUAAGGUCCCGUAAAAUUUUCACAAAGGAAAUUAAGGUUUCGUAGUGCCGAAAAGUUUGAACAAUGCGCUCGGGAGUAAAGGAAAACUUUCAGCAGAAAAAGACAUUUAUGCGGCCCAUUAUGCGGCCGCAGAAUCACUCUACGGACCGCAUAAUGGUCGCAGAGUGAAUCAGAGGCGGGGAAAGAUUGGAGGAAGGUCUGUGGUACACUAUGCGAUCGCAGACCAGUUAUGCGGUGCAUUAUACGACCGCAGAAUAGAUCUGCAGGUCGCAUAAUCACCGCAGACCCAACCAGACGACCCCAAUUUUGGAGCGU